UUCCAGACUCCUACGGGAGGCAGCAGUGGGGGAUAUUGCACAAUGGGGGAAACCCUGAUGCAGCAACGCCGCGUGAGUGAAGAAGUAUUUCGGUAUGUAAAGCUCUAUCAGCAGGGAAGAAGAAAGACGGUACCUGACUAAGAAGCCCCGGCUAACUACGUGCCAGCAGCCGCGGUAAUACGUAGGGGGCAAGCGUUAUCCGGAUUUACUGGGCGUAAAGGGAGCGUAGACGGCGGCGCAAGUCUGGAGUGAAAGCCCGGGGCCCAACCCCGGGACUGCUCUGGAAACUGCGGCGCUGGAGUACGGGAGGGGCAGGCGGAAUUCCUGGUGUAGCGGUGAAAUGCGUAGAUAUCAGGAGGAACACCGGCGGCGAAGGCGGCCUGCUGGACCGUGACUGACGUUGAGGCUCGAGAGCGUGGGGAGCAAACAGGAUUAGAUACCCCUGUA
rnacentral:rRNA from 1 species